rnacentral:rRNA from 1 species
AUUGAACGCUGGCGGCAUGCUUUACACAUGCAAGUCGAACGGCAGCGCGGGCUUCGGCCUGGCGGCGAGUGGCGAACGGGUGAGUAAUGCAUCGGAACGUGCCCAGCAGUGGGGGAUAGCCCGGCGAAAGCCGGAUUAAUACCGCAUACGACCUGAGGGUGAAAGCGGGGGACCGAAAGGCCUCGCGCUAUUUGAGCGGCCGAUGUCGGAUUAGCUAGUUGGUUGGGUAAAGGCUUACCAAGGCGACGAUCCGUAGCUGGUCUGAGAGGACGACCAGCCACACUGGGACUGAGACACGGCCCAGACUCCUACGGGAGGCAGCAGUGGGGAAUUUUGCACAAUGGGGGAAACCCUGAUCCAGCCAUGCCGCGUGCGGGAAGAAGGCCUUCGGGUUGUAAACCGCUUUUGUUCGGGAAGAAAUACUCAGGGCUAAUACCCCGGGGGGAUGACGGUACCGGAAGAAUAAGCACCGGCUAACUACGUG